rnacentral:lncRNA from 1 species
AGGGAAGAAGAAAGGGAGAAGAGAGAGGGGGCAUGGUGGGCUUCUAAGGGAGGCGUGGGCUACUGAAAAUCAGAUCUAAGGAGCCUUAAGGAAGGUCCCUUUAAAUAGGUAUAAGGUUUAAAUCCUAUUCAAAAUCAAACAACUACUUAAUGCAAGUCCUACUUGCAUUAGGAAUCCUUAUUUUUUUAGUUGUUUGACCCCCUUUAGGAGAUCCUU